AAUCACAUUCAAAAUCUCUGUACCAGUACUCGACGUAAUUCGAGGCGUGACCCUCUGUACGGUUCAAUCUUAGCCGUUUAUUUUCUUUCUUACGGCCCGAUCUCAAUUCUCAUUUUGUCUCAUCUGCGGCAUUAACUAGGUUAUCUUAAUUACCGCCGUCUAUUCAUCAUUAAAGCCGACCUCGAAACUCACUUCGACGUGACGGUUCGAUACGACGGCCUUUCUUCUUCUCCAAGCUUUUCAUUCUUUUUGUCUCUUCUAUUUCUUCUUCGUCUUCAAUGAAACUUUUCUUUCGCUUCCCUUUCCUUCAUCUUCUCUGAUUUCUUUUAUUUUUCGCUUCGCUUUUUUCUCUUUUCCUUUUUCGACUAAUGGCGCUGGUUCCGCCUCUUCCUUCUCAUCCAUCCCUGGAUUAUACUAUACUUAAACCCUUU
rnacentral:lncRNA from 1 species